rnacentral:rRNA from 1 species
AUUGAACGCUGGCGGCAGGCUUAACACAUGCAAGUCGAGCGGGGUGAUGGUGCUUGCACUAUCACUUAGCGGCGGACGGGUGAGUAAUGCUUAGGAAUCUGCCUAUUAGUGGGGGACAACAUCUCGAAAGGGAUGCUAAUACCGCAUACGUCCUACGGGAGAAAGCAGGGGAUCACUUGUGACCUUGCGCUAAUAGAUGAGCCUAAGUCGGAUUAGCUAGUUGGUGGGGUAAAGGCCUACCAAGGCGACGAUCUGUAGCGGGUCUGAGAGGAUGAUCCGCCACAAUGGGACUGAGACACGGCCCAGACUCCUACGGGAGGCAGCAGUGGGGAAUAUUGGACAAUGGGGGGAACCCUGAUCCGGCCAUGCCGCGUGUGUGAAGAAGGCCUUAUGGUUGUAAAGCACUGUAAGCGGGGAGGAGGCUCUUUUGGUUAAUACCCAAGAUGAGUGGACGUUACUCGCAGAAUAAGCACCGGCUAACUCUGUGCCAGCCGCCGCCGUAA